UAAAGGGCUCGCAGGCGGUUUUUUUAAGUCUGAUGUGAAAAGCCCCCCGGCUCAACCGGGGAGGGUCAUUGGAAACUGGGAAACUUGAGUGCAGAAGAGGAGAGUGGAAUUCCACGUGUAGCGGUGAAAUGCGUAGAGAUGUGGAGGAACACCAGUGGCGAAGGCGACUCUCUGGUCUGUAACUGACGCUGAGGAGCGAAAGCGUGGGGAGCGAACAGGAUUAGAUACCCUGGUAGUCCACGCCGUAAACGAUGAGUGCUAAGUGUUAGGGGGUUUCCGCCCCUUAGUGCUGCAGCUAACGCAUUAAGCACUCCGCCUGGGGAGUACGGUCGCAAGACUGAAACUCAAAGGAAUUGACGGGGGCCCGCACAAGCGGUGGAGCAUGUGGUUUAAUUCGAAGCAACGCGAAGAACCUUACCAGGUCUUGACAUCCUCUGACAACCCUAGAGAUAGGGCUUUCCCUUCGGGGACAGAGUGACAGGUGGUGCAUGGUUGUCGUCAGCUCGUGUCGUGAGAUGUUGGGUUAAGUCCCGCAACGAGCGCAACCCUUGAUCUUAGUUGCCAGCAUUCAGUUGGGCACUCUAAGGUGACUGCCGGUGACAAACCGGAGGAAGGUGGGGAUGACGUCAAAUCAUCAUGCCCCUUAUGACCUGGGCUACACACGUGCUACAAUGGACAGAACAAAGGGCUGCGAGACCGCAAGGUUUAGCCAAUCCCACAAAUC
rnacentral:rRNA from 1 species